AGGUGCGCGCCGGGAAUGGGCGGCGGCAGGCGCGCGGGGCACAGGUUCCUGAGGGGGCGCAGCUUUUCCUGGAAGGCAGGCAGCCUGAGAAGGGCUUCGUUUUUGCGCAGUAGGACGUUGAAGAAAGGACAAGCCCCCUUUGUCCUGGACGUAAGCCGCAAGUCGUCCUGAGUGGUGCACACCGCGAAGACUGAGGAAACUGGAUCACAGGGCUGGGCCGUGAGCCUUGAACCUCGGAGAACGUCGCAUUACUGCUCCAGCGCGCCGGUUCAGGGCCGCGGGACGCGAGCCCUUUAAAAGGAUGGAUUUGCUUCCUGUGACUCCCUGGAAGAGACGUCUUCACCACCGCACUGCGUAGAGGCCGGCGUCGUCGCCGGCUCACCCCGCUUGCUGCCUCCCCGCACAAAGCCCAGCCCAGGUAGCUCAGGUUAGCUGGAGCCCCGGAGCCUCACCUACAAGUACCUGGCCUGUCCUAGGUUGUGUGGGGACGGGAUGUGGCUUCUGCAAGCCCAGAAACCUGUUUCCACUCCCCCACCACAAAUGGAACUCACCCAGCUCUACUCGCAAGUGUCUUUCUAGGGAAGCACUUCCCAGUCUUGUCGCAUGACGGUGCACAGUGGACGUGGCACCGCAUGGUGUGGCACACAGGAAUCAGUGGACGGAGGAGCUGCUCCCAGCAGGAGGGGCCGAUCCCUGGCUGUUCCAGCUGCUCCUGGCCCUGCUCAGACAUCCUGAGGACUGAGACUCUAAACCCGGCAGGUCUGCAUUCAUCUCACAGCACACGAAGAGCUCCAAGUCGGACAUCAAGGGCUCCGCACAUUGUGAAAGUUUUCCUUGAAGUUACGAUGGGAAUCCAGAACGCCGUAUGGACCCCUCUGUGGGUAGCGCAGAAAUAAUUUUUGUAUUUUCAGUAGAGACGGGGUUUCACCAUGUUGGCCAGGCUGGUUGUGAACUCCUGACCUCGUGAUCUGCCGUCCUCCGCCUCCCAAAGUGUUGGGAUUACAGGCGUGAGCCACCACGCCCAGCCUCUUCUUUCCUUCUUUUCCUCUUUCUGGAAUUCCUACUGGGUAGGUGUUGUACCUCUGUAUUAAUCAUCUAUAUCUCUUAUUGUUUCUGGCCUAUUUUCUGUUUCCUGUUCUCUUUAUUCUCUGUGACCUCCUAAACAUUAUUGUCCACCCAUAUUUAUUAUUUUACAUUUUGUGAACCAUAAUUUUAAUUUCCAGAGGCUUUUACUGUGGUUCUUCUCACAGGGCUUAUUUUUCACUGUGUCAUGUUCUUGUUUUAUUGUUUUAUGGAUGGAAUAUUUUCUAAAAUCUCUCUGGGGAUGCUGAUCAAAGAAGUUCUGUUCUUUCAUGUUCUUUGUUUUAUGUUCUUUU
rnacentral:lncRNA from 10 species